GAUGAACGCUAGCUACAGGCUUAACACAUGCAAGUCGAGGGGAAACGAUAGAGAAAGCUUGCUUUUUCUAGGCGUCGACCGGCGCACGGGUGAGUAACGCGUAUCCAACCUGCCCAUCACUUGGGGAUAACCUUGCGAAAGUAAGACUAAUACCCAAUGAUAUCUCUAGAAGACACCUGAAAGAGAUUAAAGAUUUAUCGGUGAUGGAUGGGGAUGCGUCUGAUUAGCUUGUUGGCGGGGUAACGGCCCACCAAGGCGACGAUCAGUAGGGGUUCUGAGAGGAAGGUCCCCCACAUUGGAACUGAGACACGGUCCAAACUCCUACGGGAGGCAGCAGUGAGGAAUAUUGGUCAAUGGACGAGAGUCUGAACCAGCCAAGUAGCGUGCAGGAUGACGGCCCUAUGGGUUGUAAACUGCUUUUAUAAGGGAAUAAAGUGAGUCUCGUGAGACUUUUUGCAUGUACCUUAUGAAUAAGGACCGGCUAAUUCCGUGCCAGCAGCCGCAGUAACAC
rnacentral:rRNA from 1 species